GAAGAUCGAGAAUAGGAGUAUAUCGAACUCCUAGUACUGCAUCAGGAUAGUCGGUAAAUAACUCAUUUCAUCGAAGACUACAAUUGGAUUGGCAUCCUCAAAAUAUGUAGAUUCAAUUCUUUUAACACUUUUAGUCGUUCGUGGGCUCACGUGUCACUGUAAAUUUAAUUUUAUACUUUGGUUAUCUAUAUUACAAUAUAUAUGAAUUUAUUU